UACGAAGGGGGGCUAGCGUUGUUCGGAAUUACUGGGCGUAAAGCGCGCGCAGGCGGUCUUCCAAGUCAGUGGUGAAAGCCCCGGAGCUCAACUCCGGAACUGCCAUUGAAACUGUUAGACUGAGGAUGAGAGAGGUGAGUGGAAUUCCCCAGUGUAGAGGUGAAAUUCGUAGAUAUUGGGGAAGAACACCGGUGGCGAAGGCGGCUCACUGGCUCAUUACUGACGCUCAGGCGCGAUAGCGUGGGGAUCAAACAGG
rnacentral:rRNA from 1 species